GACGAACGCUGGCGGCGUGCUUAACACAUGCAAGUCGAGCGACAGCGCCUCUUUUUGGGGUGUAUGGAGCGGCGAACGGGUGAGUAACACGUGAGCAACCUGCCCUAGGCUUUGGGAUAACCCUCGGAAACGGGGGCUAAUACCGGAUAUGAUGCCUCACCGCAUGGUGGGGUGUGGAAAGUUUUUCGGCUUGGGAUGGGCUCGCGGCCUAGCAGCUUGUUGGUGGGGUGAUGGCCUACCAAGGCGACGACGGGUAGCCGGCCUGAGAGGGCGACGGGCAACACUGGGACUGAGACACGGCCCAGAGUCAUACGGGAGGCAGCAGUGGGGAAUAUUGCACAAUGGGCGCAAGCCUGAUGCAGCGACGCCGCGUGGGGGAUGACGGCCUUCGGGUUGUAACCCUCUUUCGGCCCUGACGAAGCGUAAGUGACGGUAGGGGCAGAAGAAGCGCCGGCCAACUACGUGCCAGCAGCCGCGGUAACAC
rnacentral:rRNA from 1 species